UUCCGGUUGAUCCUGCCGGACCUGACUGCUAUCACCCCUUGAGUAGCUCCUGCGAGUUAACCUUUAAAUUCCUGGCGCACGACCGUACUACACGUACGGCACAUGUCCAGACUACCUGGAUAACCUGGGGAAACUGAAUCUCAACCCCUCUAAGAGACGAUUUCUGGAAUGGUUGCUGACUCACAUCUAUAUGGCCUCUGGAUUGCACUGCGCUCUAUCCCGCUGUUGGUGAGGUAAUGGCCCACCGCCCCCGUCACCGGUGCUGGCUCUGAUGGAGGAGCCCAUUUUACCCCUCUGACUGAGGGCCCUUGCCUAUCCUGCCUCCUAGCUCUGUAAACCUCUGCAAUAGGCCAUCUGCUGACCAGGUGGCUCUGAGUGACUAUUUGUAAAAACGUCUUUUGGUGCCUCUAAAAAGGGAAUCAAUAAGGGGUGGGCAAGUCUGGGUAUUACCGCCGCGGCUGAACCCACACUUGCACUGCCCUUAUUCAUUAUUGUUUUUAAAGGUGCCGUAAGACUUUCUGCAAGUCCCCCGUUAAAACCAACUGUGCAACGCAUGCGCCUAUUGCGAAACUAUCGAGCCUGCAGGCCCGCAAAGCGACUGGGACUCUGUGUCUAUGCGCAUCAUCCGUUGAUUCCUCUCAGACCACCGUACGGCUUACGCGGCUGGUGGAAUGCGCUCUCACCAACAGGGAUGAUCGCUGGCAGGAGCAAACCGGAGUAGAUAUAGAUUUAGCCAUGAACCAUUCGAUGCAUCACUGAGCUGAUGGGGUUUAUCCUCGCUUACCCCGAGGUUGUCCACGUCCUCUGAGUCUGCCGACUACGUGUUACUGUCGCAAGAC
rnacentral:rRNA from 1 species